UACGGAGGGGGGCUAGCGUUGUUCGGAAUUACUGGGCGUAAAGCGCGCGUAGGCGGCUUUUGCAAGUUAGAGGUGAAAAGCCCCGGAGCUUAACUCCGGAACUGCCUUUUAAAAACUGCAUCGCUAGAAUCGUGGAGAGGUGAGUGGAAUUCCGAGUGUAGAGGUGAAAUUCGUAGAUAUUCGGAAGAACACCAGUGGCGAAGGCGACUCACUGGACACGUAUUGACGCUGAGGUGCGAAAGCGUGGGGAGCAAACAGGG
rnacentral:rRNA from 1 species